AUUGAACGCUGGCGGCAUGCCUUACACAUGCAAGUCGAACGGCAGCACGGGAGCAAUCCUGGUGGCGAGUGGCGAACGGGUGAGUAAUAUAUCGGAACGUGCCCAGUCGUGGGGGAUAACGUAGCGAAAGCUACGCUAAUACCGCAUACGAUCUACGGAUGAAAGCGGGGGAUCGCAAGACCUCGCGCGAUUGGAGCGGCCGAUAUCAGAUUAGCUAGUUGGUGGGGUAAAAGCUCACCAAGGCGACGAUCUGUAGCUGGUCUGAGAGGACGACCAGCCACACUGGAACUGAGACACGGUCCAGACUCCUACGGGAGGCAGCAGUGGGGAAUUUUGGACAAUGGGCGAAAGCCUGAUCCAGCCAUGCCGCGUGCAGGAUGAAGGCCUUCGGGUUGUAAACUGCUUUUGUACGGUAACGAAAGACUCUUUCUAAUAAAGAGGUCCAUGACGGUACCGUAAGAAUAAGCACCGGCUAACUACGUGCCAGCAGACCGG
rnacentral:rRNA from 1 species